AUCUAGCUGACGAGCCCCAAAUAGGACGGAACACUCGUCCUGGAU
rnacentral:hammerhead_ribozyme from 1 species